rnacentral:ribozyme from 13 species
UAAAAAAAAAACACAACAGAAAAAGGAAAAAGCAUAUCAAGCGCAAACCACGAGCACAAAGGGACGGAGAUCCAUCAUCUCGCAUAAAAUCUUUUUUUUUUUUUGCUGUUGUUUUUGUUUUUGUUU